rnacentral:rRNA from 1 species
UACGAAGGGGGCGAGCGUUGUUCGGAAUUACUGGGCGUAAAGCGCGCGUAGGCGGUUUUGCAAGCCAGAGGUGAAAUGCCUGAGCUCAACUCAGGAAUGGCCUUUGGGACUGCGAGGCUUUGAGGACUGGAGAGGUGAGUGGAAUUCCCAGUGUAGAGGUGAAAUUCGUAGAUAUUGGGAAGAACACCGGUGGCGAAGGCGGCUCACUGGCCAGUUUCUGACGCUGCAGCGCGAAAGCGUGGGGAUCAAACAGG